CAAUGUCCCCGUUGCAUGUUAAAACAGUUAAAGAACACAAAAGUAAAGAGAGAAUUGGAACAGACUCCCCUGGGAUAGAAGUUUCGAGAUUGAUAUUCUUCAAUUUAGCUCCAUCUCNUCCUAAUUGCUUUUACCAUAAUUUUCUAAAUUAACCUAGUACUUUUUAUGCAAUUUUUUUUUUCAAACCAAGCAAGGAUUCUAAUUUAACUAAAUGUAAUCAACCCCCUACCNUUCGGAAAAUGAUCUCCUUAUACUCUUCAGUGACGAGACUCCUUUUUGACCAUUUUAAGCAUUAGACUCAUACCAUCACUANUUAAAACAAUUAAAGAACACAAAAGUAAAGAGAGAAUUGGAACAUACUCCCCUAGGAUAGAAGUUGCGAGAUUGAUAUUCUUCAAUUUAGCUCCAUCUUCAGCUGACUUUAGACAUAGAAGUAAAGAGAGAAUUAAAACUAUAAUAAUAAAAACAUCUAAAAAAAUCCUAAAUUACCCCUAAAUACUAGAAGUUUAGAAAGAAAAAGAAAAGCAAACUCUAAUGACGGGUUGCCUCCCGC
rnacentral:lncRNA from 1 species